GCCAGGUUCUUACUGACGCUAAUGCUCGAAGGUGCGGGUAUCGAACAGGAUUAGAUACCCUGGUAGUCCGCACGGUAAACGAUGGAUGCCCGCUGUUUGCGAUACACUGUGAGCGGCCAAGCGAAAGCGUUAAGCAUCCCACCUGGGGAGUACGCCGGCAACGGUGAAACUCAAAGGAAUUGACGGGGGCCCGCACAAGCGGAGGAACAUGUGGUUUAAUUCGAUGAUACGCGAGGAACCUUACCCGGGCUUGAACUGCAGGAGAACGAUACAGAGAUGUUGAGGCCCUUCGGGGCUCCUGUGGAGGUGCUGCAUGGUUGUCGUCAGCUCGUGCCGUGAGGUGUCGGCUUAAGUGCCAUAACGAGCGCAACCCCUCUCCGUAGUUGCCAUCAGGUGAUGCUGGGCACUCUGCGGACACUGCCACCGUAAGGUGUGAGGAAGGUGGGGAUGACGUCAAAUCAGCACGGCCCUUACGUCCGGGGCUACACACGUGUUACAAUGGGUGGUACAGAGAGUAAGUCCAACGCAAGUUGGGUUGAAUCAAGAAAGCCAUCCUCAGUUCGGAUUGGGGUCUGCAACCCGACCCCAUGAAGCUGGAUU
rnacentral:rRNA from 1 species